GACAGAGGAUGCAAGCGUUAUCCGGAAUGAUUGGGCGUAAAGCGUCUGUAGGUGGCUUUUUAAGUCCGCCGUCAAAUCCCAGGGCUCAACCCUGGACAGGCGGUGGAAACUACCAAGCUGGAGUACGGUAGGGGCAGAGGGAACUUCCGGUGGAGCGGUGAAAUGCGUAGAUAUCAGGAGGAACACCGGUGGUGUAGACGGCUUACUGGACCAUAACUGACGCUGAGACACGAAAGCGUGGGUAGCAAACAGG
rnacentral:rRNA from 1 species